rnacentral:lncRNA from 1 species
AAUCUUACCUCGGAAGCCCAGAAGGCCUCAGUGGCCUGGCCGGCCUUCAUAAGGCAGUUGGCCCCCGAUAUCAGAAAGGAACUUCAGAGAUUAGGAGGUGUAUUAUGAGAGGGAGACAGUUAUAUGAUCUAGUGAAAGAGGCAGAGAAAGUGUGUGUGUGUGAGAGAGAGAGGCGGGAGGCAAAAGAAAGAAAACAGGAGGGAUCAUAGACAAAGAAAUUUGCCACAGUGGUAGGAGAAAAAGAAAAGACAGGAUCUAGACAGGAAACCUGGGCAACUGAAGACCGAGCCUCAGCUAAAGAGGCUCAGCUGUGUUAGACUGAAGUUAUCUAUUUGAGACACACCCUUCAAGGUGGAAAGCAGUGGCUAAAGAAAGCCAGAAAAAAAGACUAACUCAGAUUCCCACCCCGACUACACCAAAGCAAGUAAGAGAAUUCUUGGGUACUGCUGGCUUCUACAGACUCUAAAUACCUGGGUUGGCGACCUUAGCUGCCCUGUUGUACCCCCUAACCAAUGAAGGGGAGGUGUUUUGUGGACUCCAAAUCACCAGAAAGCCUUUAAGCCUUACUCAGACUUUGGGACUUUAAAAAAGGCCAGUGGCUUACCUAUCCAAGAAGUUACACCCUGUUGCCAGCAGGUGGUUUUCUUGCCUGAUGGAUGAUGACCAACGCUCCUGUGACACAUCAGAACUUUUCGUUGACUGAACGAGUGACCUUUGCUUCAUUCCACCUGCUGUCCCACUGUGUGAGACUGCACAUAGUCAUCACUUCGCUGACAUUCUGGCAGAAGAGCUGGUACACUGAUGGCAGUAGCCUCAUGGUUAAAGCCUUUGUUCUCUAGGCUCAAGGUGCUCCAGUGAGUGAGACAGCGAGCGAAAAAGCAGCUCCAGAAUGCCUACUC